CCAGGUUUGUUUUUCUCCGGUACAGCCUGGUAGGGAGGGCUCCCGGCAUCUCCCUGCUUCGGGGCAGAGGAUGCCGGGGGUAGAGUACGGGAGGGCUGGAGCGAGGGUGGACUGGAGGUGCCGCUUGUCCUGGAGGUGGGAGAGAGGGAGCGGCUUUGCCGCCUGGCCUGCGUCCUAAUCCUGUCCUGGUUCUUCUGCUCCCGAAGGGAACGUAGGUCCCGCGCCUGUGAUAAGUAAGGUUGGAUUUUCUCUUCCCUGAGGUGAAGGAUGCCCGGAGGCCUCGGCAGGACCGUGCGGAAACGGGCCUUCUGCCCAAAAGAUGCUGCUUCUCUCCUUAUUCUUUCCCCUCAGAAUCUCGCUGUCUCCUUCCAACCACCUGUGGUCGGCAUCCCCGCGUUGUCACUGCGACGCAGAGGCGAGCGAGGUGGCGGGAAGCACCCGCGGGGCGGGGAGGGACCCUGCGGGCGCGGACUCCACACCAAGCCUCUGCUCAGCGUCACCCCGCUUGCUGUGUCCUCGCAGGUCGCAGCUUCAUGGCCUGAUGCCUUCAGGAAGUAUUUUGAAGUCAUCGUGGCUGUGGAUUGGGGGAUUUCUUGUUUCCACUGACCUGUGAGGCCGCGCACGUGGAGGGAGGCACCCCGGGUCCUCCGGCACUGUCCGGCCUCGCCUGUGUCCCUAGUAGCAGUGGGCAUUUCCAGACGGUGCAGCUUGUGGCUAAAGUGACAGGAAGAUGUAGGAGCUUUCAGUCUUGGAUGAGGAUUCGAACUGAAGGGCUUAGGCCCAGCUGUCUUGGAGCAAAACAUCUGUUGUGGGGUGAGAAGGGAAAGGAGGGGUGAGGGUGCAGGGGCCCUCCUAGGAGGACAUCGGACCUGUUGGGCCGAGACCUCAUUAGAGAUCUAGAGCACGGAUGGGAGGAGCAGAGGCUCGAUUUGUGUCCUGUUCAGACUCCCACAGGCUGGGUGAUGGUGGGAGAUUUGUGCCCAUUCAGAUGUGGCGGCAGAGGAGGGCAAGGCCGAAGGAGCAGACAGCACCGCUUCUUGGGGAGUUGUGAAGGCAUCAUGCGGAGGGCCGAGCUUAGCAGCCAAGUGGAGGACAGCACCCUCCAUGCCUGGAUUCGUUACUCGCUCGUUCUCGAUGUUGAGCUGCUGGCAUAUUGCAGCACAACUAGAGAUGUACGGAUGCCCCCAUCUUGAUCUUACAGAAUCAGAGGUGCAGCCGCAAGAAAGGUCUCUACACCCUCUCGGUUUUCUCUGCUCUGCCAACACUAGUGGAAUAUGAUCACAUCCCAGGGAUCAGUGUCAUUUAGGGAUGUGACUAUGGGCUUCACUCAAGAGGAGUGGCAUCAUCUGGACCCUGCUCAGAGGACCCUGUAGAGGAAUGUGAUGCUGGAGAACUACAGCCACCUUGUCUCAGUAGGGUAUUGCAUUCCUAAACCAGAAGUGAUCCUCAAAUUGGAGACAGGCAAGGAGCCAUGG
rnacentral:lncRNA from 1 species